GAUGAACGCUGGCGGCGUGCCUAAUACAUGCAAGUCGAGCGAACAGACGAGGAGCUUGCUCCUCUGACGUUAGCGGCGGACGGGUGAGUAACAUGUGGAUAACCUACCUAUAAGACUGGGAUAACUUCGGGAAACCGGAGCUAAUACCGGAUAAUAUAUUGAACCGCAUGGAUCAAUAGUGAAAGACGGUUUUGCUGUCACUUAUAGAUGGAUCCGCGCCGCAUUAGCUAGUUGGUAAGGUAACGGCUUACCAAGGCAACGAUGCGUAGCCGACCUGAGAGGGUGAUCGGCCACACUGGAACUGAGACACGGUCCAGACUCCUACGGGAGGCAGCAGUAGGGAAUCUUCCGCAAUGGGCGAAAGCCUGACGGAGCAACGCCGCGUGAGUGAUGAAGGUCUUCGGAUCGUAAAACUCUGUUAUUAGGGAAGAACAAAUGUGUAAGUAACUAUGCACGUCUUGACGGUACCUAAUCAGAAAGCCACGGCUAACUACGUG
rnacentral:rRNA from 1 species